CAGGUCUGGCCACGCUUCUGCCGCUCAGAGUGGUGACUCGAGUGGACGCUGGAGAACUGGCUGCCCGCAUGCGCGUUCGCGUGGCCUCCCUGUGAGAAGUGGCUUCCGAAGAACGAGCUGCCGUCUCCGAAGGUGUGCUCGUCUUGCCCAAAGAAGUUCAUGAAAGGAUCCUCCUGCAUCAAAACCAUCACUGCAUCAUCAGUUUAUUAACCCUUGGCACUGGAUCGCAGAAUCGAGUAAUGGUUUUGGUCGGGCGGGAAGCUGCCUGCUGUCCGUGCGCAGAGCGCUGCUCGCCCCAAUUCCUCUUCGUCGUCGGCCAAGACCAGACGUGCACGGAGACACCGGAGACGUGUGGCCACGUGUGCGGACCGCCAUGAAACUAAAUCGAUCCGUGCCUCAGGCCCUGAACUGUUUUAUAAGGCAUGUCAUGUAGUGAGCGGCAGAAGUAAUAAAGGAAUCGUGUGAGUAACAA